rnacentral:rRNA from 1 species
AUACGUAGGUGACAAGCGUUAUCCGGAUUUACUGGGCGUAAAGGGCGUGUAGGCGGUCUUGCAAGUCAGAAGUGAAAUUCCUGAGCUCAACUCGGGCGCUGCUUCUGAAACUGCAGGACUUGAGUGCUGGAGGGGAUAGCGGAAUUCCUAGUGGAGCGGUAAAAUGCGCAGAUAUUAGGAAGAACACCGGUGGCGAAGGCGGCUAUCUGGACAGUAACUGACGCUGAGGCGCGAAAGCGUGGGGAGCAAACAGGAUUAGAUCCCCUGGUAGUCCACGCCGUAAACGAUGAAUACUAGGUGUAGGGGGUAUUGACUCCCUCUGUGCCGCAGUUAACACAAUAAGUAUUCCGCCUGGGGAGUACGGCCGCAAGGUUGAAACUCAAAUGAAUUGACGGGG